CCUUUCGAAAGGAAGAUUAAUACUCCAUAAUAUAUGAACGGCAUCGUUUAAUAUGAAAGCUCCGGCGGAUAGAGAUGGGCACGCGCAAGAUUAGCUAGUUGGUGAGGUAACGGCUCACCAAGGCAAUGAUCUUUAGGGGGCCUGAGAGGGUGAUCCCCCACACUGGUACUGAGACACGGACCAGACUCCUACGGGAGGCAGCAGUGAGGAAUAUUGGUCAAUGGGUGCAAGCCUGAACCAGCCAUCCCGCGUGAAGGACGACUGCCCUAUGGGUUGUAAACUUCUUUUGUAUAGGGAUAAACCUUUCCACGUGUGGAAAGCUGAAGGUACUAUACGAAUAAGCACCGGCUAACUCCGUG
rnacentral:rRNA from 1 species